UAUGGGUUAAACCAAAAAGAGCAAAGGAAAGAAAGUGAUUUGCUAUCAACAGAAAGAGAGAACUGGCGGCUAUAGAGAAAACAAGAGAGGAAAUGGAAGGAGAUAUCGAUCUUGUAGGUUACGAGCCCGGAUCUUCGUGAUACCUUCCAUUCGCUUCAUUUUCGAGGCAUCUUGUGGAGAAAUGUGAGACCGAGAACAAGUGGAACGAAUCUGGAAAGGGAAGGAUCAAGUUUCUUAGGGGUUCAAUCGUGUUUCGAGAGGUACAAGGAUUCUUCAAGUGACUAUUGACAGACCUCGCUUAGGAGAUUUGACAUAAUCGCAUCGUCUUCAAAGGUUAGCCAAAUCAUCUGGGCUGCCAUGGAGUUCUCUUUCCCCUAAGUCCACUAUUUGCAAACUUAGACAUUUGUUUAGUUAGUGCUUAAUUAAGUAGUUUGGGUUGUGCCCCUUCCUAUUUAGACUUGUUAUUUCGUUGUAGUAUUGGUACAUUGACUUUCACAUUCUAGGUUCAUCUUCUGCAACUGUUUAGUUAGUUCUUUAGAAUCUUUGUUAAGGUUUAUCGAAACCUCUUACAUAGUUUAUUUAACUUGCUUUCAUAA